rnacentral:rRNA from 1 species
CAGCAGCCGCGGUAAUACGAAGGGUGCAAGCGUUAAUCGGAAUUACUGGGCGUAAAGCGCGCGUAGGUGGUUUGGUAAGAUGGAUGUGAAAUCCCCGGGCUCAACCUGGGAACUGCAUCCAUAACUGCCUGACUAGAGUACGGUAGAGGGUGGUGGAAUUUCCUGUGUAGCGGUGAAAUGCGUAGAUAUAGGAAGGAACACCAGCGGCGAAGGCGACCACCUGGACUGAUACUGACACUGAGGUGCGAAAGCGUGGGGAGCAAACAGGAUUAGAUACCCCUGUAGUCCCUGUCUCUUAUAC